rnacentral:rRNA from 1 species
UACGUAGGGUGCAGGCGUUAAUCGGAAUUACUGGGCGUAAAGCGUGCGCAGGCGGUUUCUUAAGUCAGAUGUGAAAGCCCCGGGCUUAACCUGGGAACUGCGUUUGAAACUGGGAGACUUGAGUGUGGCAGAGGGGGGUGGAAUUCCACGUGUAGCAGUGAAAUGCGUAGAUAUGUGGAGGAACACCGAUGGCGAAGGCAGCCCACUGGGUUAACACUGACGCUCAUACACGAAAGCGUGGGGAGCAAACAGG